rnacentral:rRNA from 1 species
GACGAACGCUGGCGGCGUGCUUAACACAUGCAAGUCGAACGGAAAGGCCCUGCUUUUGUGGGGUGCUCGAGUGGCGAACGGGUGAGUAACACGUGAGUAACCUGCCCUUGACUUUGGGAUAACUUCAGGAAACUGGGGCUAAUACCGGAUAGGAGCUCCUGCUGCAUGGUGGGGGUUGGAAAGUUUCGGCGGUUGGGGAUGGACUCGCGGCUUAUCAGCUUGUUGGUGGGGUAGGGGCUUACCAAGGCUUUGACGGGUAGCCGGCCUGAGAGGGUGACCGGACACAUUGGGACUGAGAUACGGCACAGACUCCUACGGGAGGCAGCAGUGGGGAAUAUUGCACAAUGGGCGGAAGCAUGAUGUAGCAACGCCGCGUGCGGGAUGACGGCCUUCGGGUUGUAAACCGCUUUCGCCUGUGACGAAGCGUGAGUGACGGUAAUGGGUAAAGAAGCACCGGCUAACUACGUG